CCACCAUAUUUUCCUCCGCUAGUAUUGCAACCCGCCGUCUCCCCACUUACUCCCACCAUAAUUUUCUCCUCCUCUACUUCUUAUGGUGGCUUCUCCUCUUGCAUUAACCUUUCCAACGUCUCUCCCACCUCCUCUGCAAAUUUUUAUUUUUCUAGUAAGCUUCAUGUGUUAUGUUUUGUUGGUGUAUCAUUUUUAUGAACCAAUUGGUUUAUAUUUAUUGAUCAAGACUGAGAAAUUACGAGCAACAACAUAUCAAUACUAUAUUUUUAUAAUCGACAAAGACCAAGAAGGUAGUAAAUAUUGUGAACAGAGUGCACCAUUUGGAUAAAGAAUGUAGUAUAGUAUAGUGUAUGAUAUUAAGUUUUAAAUUAGAAAAGAUGGACAACGAUAGUGCCACAUGCUCCUCUGUAAAUCAUAUGUCCUCCUACUAUAUAUGAUUUUUAUCUUUUACCUUUGGAAAAAAUAACAGUUCAAAUUGAAAUGUAGUAUUUUCUUUUGUAAUAUUCGUUUGAGAACAAUGAAUAUAAAUGAAUCUUUAGAAUCUUUUUCUCCUCCUUCUCCCCUCCUCCUCCUCCUCCUCAUCCUCCCCUUCCCCUUCCCAUCCCCCUCACCCCUCCCCGCCCCGCCUCCUCCUCA
rnacentral:lncRNA from 1 species